AGCGAACGCUGGCGGCAGGCCUAACACAUGCAAGUCGAACGAAGUCUUCGGACUUAGUGGCGGACGGGUGAGUAACACGUGGGAACGUGCCUUUAGGUUCGGAAUAACUCAGGGAAACUUGUGCUAAUACCGAAUGUGCCCUUCGGGGGAAAGAUUUAUCGCCUUUAGAGCGGCCCGCGUCUGAUUAGCUAGUUGGUGAGGUAAUGGCUCACCAAGGCGACGAUCAGUAGCUGGUCUGAGAGGAUGACCAGCCACAUUGGGACUGAGACACGGCCCAAACUCCUACGGGAGGCAGCAGUGGGGAAUCUUGCGCAAUGGGCGAAAGCCUGACGCAGCCAUGCCGCGUGAAUGAUGAAGGUCUUAGGAUUGUAAAAUUCUUUCACCGGGGACGAUAAUGACGGUACCCGGAGAAGAAGCCCCGGCUAACUUCGUGCCAGCAGCCGCCGGUAAAAC
rnacentral:rRNA from 1 species